rnacentral:lncRNA from 1 species
CACGUAACUGAAAUUUAAAGAGAAGAUUUGUAAAGCACCUGGAGUUAGUGCCAUCAUGUUGCGCCCAGAACUGCUACCAGUGAAAUGUGCUCCCUUAUUUCCUACCACAAUGCUGGUGUACCUUUGUAAAACCAGUGAAAUUACCAACUGCUUGAUGGGACGGGAUUGAAAGGUAUGUACAAAGGAAGUUUGGAUUUGGUUCAGCUAAUGUCCCUUUAAGAAGCUUGACAACAAGUGAUGUCUUGUGAUCCAUUUUUGAGAGUCAGCAGCAUUUUCUGGGUCUAAUAUAUUUCUGACGUCUCUGAAAUGUAGGGACACCUGUACCAAUGCAAGCAGACAUCGGUGGAGCCUAUGCUUAUUUACAUUUCUUGUUUGUAGUCUUCCUUAUUCACAAGCUAUCUCAAUCAAAGAAAAAGACUUCAUUUAUUUUACCAAAAGUUUUAUCAUGUAGAAAUUGUUAGCAGGAAGUUUCUUCUUUACAUGUCCAGUGCUCCUGUAGUGUUGAUUAUGGAACAUGAAAGACACUCUGCCUCUCUUGCACAGGAUAAUAAAACACAAAAUUAGAAGCUUCAGUAACCUAACAGAUUUUUAUAACAACAAAACACACAGAAUUAGCAGCUUAUCUGCCCCACCAGGAGACUGUUAAAAACAGAAGCUGCAGCAACAAGAAAAAAACAUAAAAGAAAGGUGAAAAGAGACCUAUUUUUAUGGCCAAACCUUGUUGUAUUUCUCACAUUUGAUAGUAAAGAAAUAAUCAUGAUUUCUUUUGGUCCCUCGUAAAAUUAUAUAGCCCUAUUUUAAAACAAUGGAAGAAACUGUGUCCAUUAUUUCUGCUUGUUCAGAUUCCAUGAGUAAUUAAAACAGGACAAAGGCAGGGCCCGAUCACACAGUAACAGCCAGAACUAAGAGAGUCCAGCAGCAACCUGGUGCUGAUAAACAGAAAUACUAAAGGGCCGAUAAGCAGAGAGCUGUCAUUAUCCAGGAGAGAAUUUACUAGCCCAUGUUCAGUUUGUAUACUUGGCUUCAAAUCAGGAUCAUUUCUGUAAAAAAUAUUUAGUUUUAAUUGCUAUUCAAUAUGCCCACAUUCAACGGGUCUUGAAACCAGUCAGAUUUCCAUUGGAGUCAUCAGGACUGGACUGCACUGGGGAUAUAAAGAAAAAAAUCCUACAUCUUUUCCUUUCACCAUCAGCCCAACAUUCAAAUGAAGUACACUCCAAACUGAUCUUUACUUUGUUUUUUACUCCUUGU